rnacentral:rRNA from 1 species
GAUGAACGCUGGCGGCGUGCCUAAUACAUGCAAGUAGAACGCUGAAGCUUGGUGCUUGCACCGAGCGGAUGAGUUGCGAACGGGUGAGUAACGCGUAGGUAACCUGCCUCUUAGCGGGGGAUAACUAUUGGAAACGAUAGCUAAUACCGCAUAAAAGUCGAUAUCGCAUGAUAUUGAUUUGAAAGGUGCAAUUGCAUCACUAAGAGAUGGACCUGCGUUGUAUUAGCUAGUUGGUGAGGUAACGGCUCACCAAGGCAACGAUACAUAGCCGACCUGAGAGGGUGAUCGGCCACACUGGGACUGAGACACGGCCCAGACUCCUACGGGAGGCAGCAGUAGGGAAUCUUCGGCAAUGGGGGCAACCCUGACCGAGCAACGCCGCGUGAGUGAAGAAGGUUUUCGGAUCGUAAAGCUCUGUUGUAAGAGAAGAACGAGUGUGAGAGUGGAAAGUUCACACUGUGACGGUAACUUACCAGAAAGGGACGGCUAACUACGUGCCAGCAGCCGCGGUAAUACGUAGGUCCCGAGCGUUAUCCGGAUUUAUUGGGCGUAAAGCGAGCGCAGGCGGUUUGAUAAGUCUGAAGUUAAAGGCUGUGGCUCAACCAUAGUUCGCUUUGGAAACUGUCAAACUUGAGUGCAGAAGGGGAGAGUGGAAUUCCAUGUGUAGCGGUGAAAUGCGUAGAUAUAUGGAGGAACACCGGUGGCGAAAGCGGCUCUCUGGUCUGUAACUGACGCUGAGGCUCGAAAGCGUGGGGAGCGAACAGG